UACAGAGGGUGCGAGCGUUGUCCGGAAUUACUGGGCGUAAAGGGCGCGUAGGCGGCCUGAUAAGUAGGGGGUGAAAUUCCGUGGCUCAACCACGGAACUGCCUUCUAGACGGCCAGGCUUGAGCACGGUAGAGGCAGAUGGAAUUCCCGGUGUAGCGGUGGAAUGCGUAGAGAUCGGGAAGAACACCAGUGGCGAAGGCGGUCUGCUGGGCCGUUGCUGACGCUGAUGCGCGACAGCGUGGGGAGCAAACAGG
rnacentral:rRNA from 1 species